CAACAGCUAGAGUUUGAUCCUGGCUCAGGACGAACGCUGGCGGCGUGCCUAACACAUGCAAGUCGAACGGAGUUUGCCCCUUCGGGGGUAAACUUAGUGGCGGACGGGUGAGUAACGCGUGAGCAACCUGCCUAGAAGAGGGGGAUAACGGCUGGAAACGGUCGCUAAUACCGCAUGACAUUCCACUACCGCAUGGUGGAGGAAUCAAAGGAGCAAUCCGCUUUUAGAUGGGCUCGCGUCCGAUUAGCUAGUUGGUGGGGUAACGGCCUACCAAGGCGACGAUCGGUAGCCGAACUGAGAGGUUGAUCGGCCACAUUGGGACUGAGACACGGCCCAGACUCCUACGGGAGGCAGCAGUGGGGGAUAUUGCACAAUGGGGGAAACCCUGAUGCAGCAACGCCGCGUGAGGGAAGACGGUUUUCGGAUUGUAAACCUCUGUCCUUGGUGACGAUAAUGACGGUAGCCAAGAAGGAAGCCACGGCUAACUACGUGCCAGCAGCCGCGGUAA
rnacentral:rRNA from 1 species